rnacentral:lncRNA from 1 species
ACGGUGAAGAUAUGGUUCGCGGCGCGGCGAGGGCCGCCGCUGGUGUCGGCGGUGGGCCUCCACCUCGACCCCUACGCAACCGACGUGAUGUGACGGGUGUGCGACAGUAAUUUGUUUGUUGUUGCGUCGUCUGUCAGUUCGGCCUCAUGUCUUUGACGGUGACACAAAUCUGCGUCCUUCGUGUCCUUUCGAAUGGAUACGAUCAAAAUUCACAACUCAAAAUGUUUUUUUUUACCCUCUUUCUUUCGAACGUCACUUAAGAAGAAGUGGCAACUAAGCAUGUUUUGACUCGUAAUUUACAUUAUGAAAGCAAAAAUGUUACACAUACAA